rnacentral:rRNA from 1 species
GAACCUUCGGUAGGAUCA